rnacentral:rRNA from 1 species
GACGAACGCUGGCGGCGUGCUUAACACAUGCAAGUCGAACGGUAAGGCCCUUCGGGGUACACGAGUGGCGAACGGGUGAGUAACUCGUGGGUGAUCUACCCUGCACUUCGGGAUAAGCCUGGGAAACUGGGUCUAAUACCGGAGAGGACCGCUGCCUGCGUGGGGGGUGGUGGAAAGCUUUUGCGGUGUGGGAUGGGCCCGCGGCCUAUCAGCUUGUUGGUGGGGUGCUGGCCUACCAAGGCGACGACGGGUAGCCGGCCUGAGAGGGUGACCGGCCACACUGGGACUGAGAUACGGCCCAGACUCCUACGGGAGGCAGCAGUGGUGAAUAUUGCACAAUGGGCGCAAGCCUGAUGCAGCGACGCCGCGUGAGGGAUGACGGCCUUCGGGUUGUAAACCUCUUUCAGCACCGACGAAGCGCAAGUGACGGUAGGUGCAGAAGAAGGACCGGCCAACUACGUGCCAGCCGCCGCGGUAA